rfam:Camelus ferus unplaced genomic scaffold scaffold2948, whole genome shotgun sequence.
GCGGAUAUAGCUCAGGGGUAGAGCGCAUGCUUAGGGAGCACAAGGUCCUGGGUUCAAUCCCCAGUACCUCCA